rnacentral:rRNA from 1 species
GACGAACGCUGGCGGCGUGCUUAACACAUGCAAGUCGAACGGUGAAGCGCCUUCCUUUUUGGUGGGUGUGGAUGAGUGGCGAACGGGUGAGUAACACGUGAGUAACCUGCCCCCUUCUUCUGGAUAACCGCAUGAAAGUGUGGCUAAUACGGGAUAUUCUGGGUCUGUCGCAUGAUGGGUCUGGGAAAGAUAUUGUUUCGGUGGGGGAUGGGCUCGCGGCCUAUCAGCUUGUUGGUGGGGUGAUGGCCUACCAAGGCGGUGACGGGUAGCCGGCCUGGGAGGGUGGACGGUCACACUGGGACUGAGACACCGCCCAGACUCCUACGGGAGGCAGCAGUGGGGAAUAUUGCACAGUGGGCGCAAGCCUGAUGCAGCGACGCCGCAUGAGGGAUGGAGGCCUUCGGGUUGUGAACCUCUUUCGCCAGUGAAGCAGGCCUGCCUCGUUUGUGGGUGGGUUGACGGUAGCUGGAUAAGAAGCGCCGGCUAACUACGUG